GAUGAACGCUGGCGGCGUGUCUAAUACAUGCCAGUCGAGCGAAAAGACGAGGAGCUUGCUCCUCUGACGUUAGCGACGGACGGGUGAGUAACAAGUGGAUAACCUACCUAUAAUACUGGGAUAACUUCGGGAAUCCGGCGCUAAUACCGGCUAAUAUAUUGAACUGCCUGGUUCAAUAGUGAAAGACGGUUUUGCUGUCACUUAUAGAUAGAUCCGCGCCGCAUUAGCUAGUUGGUAAGGUAACGGCUUACCAAGGCAACGAUGCGUAGCCGACCUGAGAGGGUGAUCGGCCACACUGGAACUGAGACACGGUCCAGACUCCUACGGGAGCCAUCAGCAGACAAGAUGCCGCAACGGGCGAGAGCCUGACGCUGCAACGCCGCGUGAGUAAAGAAAAUGUGGGAGUCGGUAAAAGGUGUUACUAGGCAAGAACAACCGUGGAAUUAGCGAUUGUCAGCUAGACGUUACCAAGACAGAAAGCCACGGCUAACUACGGU
rnacentral:rRNA from 1 species